rnacentral:rRNA from 1 species
UCGUGACCCUUAAACAAAACAGACCGUGAACGUGUUAUCCAUGCCGCACAAGCUUCUGCUCGUGCAAGGCCUCGACCCUCUUUCGGGUGGGUAGGGGCCGCAAAAGAACCCACGGCGCCGAAGGCGUCAAGGAACACUGAUAUUGCCUUGUGCGUGGUUGUGGUCGGCUUGCUGAUCACACCUCGUGCAGCGAUGCUAUCUUAAUCCACACGACUCUCGGCAACGGAUAUCUCGGCUCUCGCAUCGAUGAAGAACGUAGCAAAAUGCGAUACCUGGUGUGAAUUGCAGAACCCCGCGAACCAUCGAGUUUUUGAACGCAAGUUGCGCCCGAGGCCUUCUGGCUGAGGGCACGCCUGCCUGGGCGUCACGCCAAAAGACACUCCCAAACCCCCCGACUCCGGGGAGGGACGUGGCGUCUGGCCCCCCGCGCCGCAGGGCGUGGUGGGCCGAAGCAGGGGCUGCCGGCGAACCGCGCCGGGCGCAGCACGUGGUGGGCGACAUCCAGUUGUUCUCGGUGCAGCGCCCCGGCGCGCGGCCGGCGCGUCGGCCCUACGGACCCAUCGAGCGACCGAGCGCGACGCCGCUCGGACC